GAUUCUCUAGUAUAUUUUAGUACAUUUGACUUCCAAUCAGAAAGAUUUGAGGAUUA
rnacentral:tRNA from 1 species